AUGAUGGAAGCUGGGGUUCAUUUUGGCCAUGAGCCUAGGAAAUGGAAUCCUCGAAUGGCACCUUUUAUAUCGGGAAAACGUAAAGAAACGAGACUUCGUGAGUUUAGGGACUUGAGAACGGAGCAAAAGACAGGGAAACUGAACUCUCUUCCAAAAAGAGAUGCCACUAUGUUGAAGAGACAAUUAUCUCAUUUGGAAAGAUAUCUAGGCGGUAUAAAAUAUAUGACAAGAUUACUUGAUAUUGUAAUAAUCCUUGAUCGGCAAGAAGAAUAUACGGCUCUUCAAGAAUGA